CGACGCUGGCGGCACGCCUAACACAUGCAAGUCGAACGAAGUAGCAAUACUUAGUGGCAAACGGGUGAGUAUAAUGUGGGAAUCUGCCAAUUGGUUUGGAAUAACACGAGGAAACUUGUGUUAAUACCGGAUAAGCCUUUACAGGGAAAGCUUUAUGCGCCGAUUGAUGAGCCCGCACUUGAUUAGCUUGUUGGUAAGGUAAUGGCUUACCAAGGCUACGAUCAAUAGCUGAUCUGAGAGGAUGAUCAGCCACAUUGGGACUGAGACACGGCCCAAACUCCUACGGGAGGCAGCAGUGGGGAAUCUUGCACAAUGGGGGAAACCCUGAUGCAGCGAUGCCGCGUGAGUGAAGAAGGCCUUUGGGUUGUAAAGCUCUUUCGUCGGGGAAGAAAAUGACUGUACCCGAAUAAGAAGGUCCGGCUAACUUCGUGCCAGCAGCCGCGGUAAUACGAAGGGACCUAGCGUAGUUCGGAAUUACUGGGCUUAAAGAGCACGUAGGUGGUUAAAAAAGUUGAUGGUGAAAUCCCAAGGCUUAACCUUGGAACUGCCCUCAAAACUUUUUAGCUAGAGUAUGACAGAGGAAAGCGGAAUUUCUAGUGUAGAGGUGAAAUUCGUAGAUAUUAGAAAGAACACCAAUUGCGUAGGCAGCUUUCUGGGUCAUUACUGACACUGAGGUGCGAAAGCAUGGGUAGCGAAGAGGAUUAGAUACCCUCGUAGUCCAUGCCGUAAACGAUGUGUGCUAGACGUUGGAAAUUUAUUUUUCAGUGUCGCAGCAAAAGCGUUAAGCACACCGCCUGGGGAGUACGACCGCAAGUAAACUCAAUGAUAG
rnacentral:rRNA from 1 species